AUGUUGUGAUGUGGGCAUUUCAGAAGUAAUGCAUUGAAGUGCUCCCAUGCCUCGAAGAAAAGAUCUCCAUCGCUUUGUUGGAACAUUUGGAGUUCCUUUUUAAGCUG